CCAGUGUUGGCUGGGCCACCCAGGCGCAUCCACCUGGUCCUCAGGAACGCCGACCUCCAGGAUCCCGCUAGAGAUGGCCCAGCACACCUGAGGCGCCUACCACACCUAGGCAGGUACAGAGGUCAGAGUCGACCAGAUUCACCUUUGUGAGACCCAUCAGGGAAUUUCCUGCCUUGUGUCCUGAGACUAAGAGCCCAGCAGAGAAACUUUGGGGAAAAUGAACUGACGGAUGCUGCCCAGGGAGAGGGUCGCCUGAGUUCCCAACAUGCAGGCCUUCCUGCAAAG